AUUGAACGCUGGCGGCAGGCCUAACACAUGCAAGUCGAACGAGUGGCGGACGGGUGAGUAAUGUCUGGGAAACUGCCUGAUGGAGGGGGAUAACUACUGGAAACGGUAGCUAAUACCGCAUACCAUCAGAUGUGCCCAGAUGGGAUUAGCUUGUUGGUGGGGUAACGGCUCACCAAGGCGACGCUCCCUAGCUGGUCUGAGCGGAUGACCAGCCACACUGGAACGGAGACACGGUCCAGAGUCCUGCGGGAGGCAGGAGUGGGGAAUAUUGCACAAUGGGGGCAAGCCUGAUGCAGCCAUGCCGCGUGGAUGAAGGAGGCCUUCGGGUUUGAAAGUACUUUCAGCGGGGGGGCGUUACCCGCAGAAGAAGCACCGGCUAACUCCGUGCCAGCAGCCGCGGUAAUUC
rnacentral:rRNA from 1 species